UACGAGGGGUGCAAGCGUUGCUCGGAAUUAUUGGGCGUAAAGGGUAGGUAGGUGGUCUCAUUUGUCAGGGGUGAAAGCCUUGGGCUUAACUCAAGAAGUGCCCCUGAAACGGUGAGACUGGAGUCUUGGAGAGGGUCGUGGAAUUCCCGGUGUAGCGGUGAAAUGCGCAGAUAUCGGGAAGAACACCCGUGGCGAAGGCGGCUCUCUGGGACGGUACUGACGCUGAGACGCGAAAGCGUGGGGAGCGAACAGG
rnacentral:rRNA from 1 species